rnacentral:rRNA from 1 species
UUAAGCUAUGUAGGGCACACGGCGGAUGCCUUGGCGCUGAGAGGCGAAGAAGGACGUUGUAGACUGCGAAAAGCUUCGGGGAGUUGUCAAACGAACUGUGAUCCGGAGAUGUCCGAAUGGGGAAACCCGGCAGUGCGAUAAGUGCUGUCACUCUGAAGUCAAUUCAUAGCUUCAGGAGAGCGAACGCGGAGAACUGAAACAUCUAAGUACCCGCAGGAAGAGAAAGAAUGAUCGAUUCCCCCAGUAGCGGCGAGCGAAAAGGGAUGAGCCUAAAUGUAUAUGUGUGUAAGUGUUACAGCGUUGCCAUAUACAAGUUGUGGGAUUCUUUGUUGCAUUGUGUAACCAGUGCGGCUCAUGGAGAAAAGAAAACGGAACGGAACUGGAAAGUCAGGCCAGAGCGGGUAAUAGCCCCGUACGUGAAACUUUUCUUACCGAGUAGAAGAACACCCGAGUACAACGGGACACGUGGAACCCUGUUGGAAUCAGCGAGGACCACCUCGCAAGGCUAAAUACUCCUCAGCGACCGAUAGUGAACGAGUACCGUGAGGGAAAGGUGAAAAGCACCCCUGCGAGGGGAGUGAAAGAGACCCUGAAACCGUGUGCCUGCAAACCUUUGGAGCCCGUUGGACGCAAGUCGAGGGUGACAGAGUACCUUUUGCAUAAUGAGUCAGCGAGUUACGUUUUGUCGCAAGGUUAAAUCGACGAAGAGAUGGAGCCGAAGCGAAAGCGAGUCUGAAUAGGGCGAGUAGUGGCAGGACGUAGACCCGAAGCCGUGUGAUCUAUGCAUGAUCAGGUUGAAAGAGCGGUAAAGCGCUGUGGAGGACCGAACCCACCAAGGUUGAAAACUUGGGGGAUGAAUUGUGCAUAGGGGUGAAAGGCCAAUCAAACUCGGAGAUAGCUGGUUCUCCCCGAAAUAUAUUUAGGUAUAGCCUCAUGUAUCUGACUAGGAGGUAAAGCACUGACUGAGUGCGGGGUCUUCCCAGAUUACCAAGCUCAUUCAAACUCUGAAUGCCUAGUCUGCAGAACAUGGGAGUCAGACUGCGAGCGAUAAGGUCCGUAGUCGAGAGGGUAAGAGCCCAGACCGCCAGCUAAGGUCCCUAAAUCCGUCUAAGUGGAAAAGGAUGUGAAAGCGCAGAGACAACCAGGAAGUUGGCUUAGAAGCAGCCAACCUUUAAAGAAAGCGUAAUAGCUCACUGGUCCAGCGAAUUUGCGCCGAAGAUGUACCGGGGCUCAAGACGGGUACCGAAGCUGCGGACUCAUACUUUAGUGUAUGAGUGGUAGGGGAGCAUUGAAGCGCGCUGUGAAGCGAAACCGACGAGGCAUCGUGGAGCGCCUUCAAGAGCAGAUGCUGACAUGAGUAACGAUAAAAUAUGUGAGAAACAUAUUCGCCGUAAGCCCAAGGUUUCCCGGGCCAGGAUUUUCCUCCCGGGGUGAGUCGGGACCUAAGACGAGGCAGAAAUGCGUAGUCGAUGGAAAGCAGGUUAAUAUUCCUGCACCGCAAAUGAUGUGUUUGAACUACAGUGGGGACGGAGAAGGUUAGGUGAGCCAGAUAGUUGGUAACUGGUUUAAGCCCGUAGGAAGGCGUUAUAGGACGCGAUAGCGACAAACGUAAUGCCAAUUUCGAGAGGCGAUGAAGCGCGGCUGAAAGUCGCACCAAUUCACUGAUACCAUGCUCCCAGGAAAAGCCACGGUGGUGAAUAUCAUGUGUGCUCGUACCGCAAACCGACACAGGUGGGCUGGAAGAAUAUUCCAAGGCGCUUGAGAGACCCCUGGUUAAGGAACUCGGCAAAUUAGCACUGUAACUUCGGGAAAAGGUGUGCCUGCUAUGGUCAAGAGCCUCGCGCUCGUAGCCGGAGAGUGGGUUGCAGAGAAAUAGUGGUAGCGACUGUUUACUAAAAACACAGGACUCUGCUAAGUCGCAAGACGAUGUAUAGGGUCUGACGCCUGCCCGGUGCCGGAAGGUUAAGAGGAGCUGUCAUCCGCAAGGAGAAGCAGUGAAUUGAAGCCCCGGUAAACGGCGGCCGUAACUAUAACGGUCCUAAGGUAGCGAAAUUCCUUGUCGGGUAAGUUCCGACCUGCACGAAUGGCGUAACGACUUCC